UUACACCUCUAAGAUUAACGACUAAGCAAAUACAUCAUGGUUGUUCGGACUUGGCCUGUUCAACUAUCUUUGUACAAUGUUGAACAUCUAAAGUAAACAACAGCAGAGACGGACUGUGAUUCUUCAACUUCAUUAACUGCGAGCAACCUUGUCAUACAGAUCACGAGGCCAAUUCUGAUUCAAAUUGCUUGCGAGGAAGUUUGCGAUCUGCAGAACCAAAUUCACAUCAGUUAUCACAAGAUGUUAUUGUUAAUUAAAAGAAGUUUGACUUAAUAUAUGAUGAGAAUCAUUGUCCAAUAUAUGUUCUCAGAGAUGUACUAGACAACAUCUUCACUAGGCUGCUGUUUUUAUCUGAUUUAGUUAAAGAGAUUUAGAAGCAAAAGCAGAUCUGUGAACACCUGGUUCAUGAUAGGUCUCACAUGUAAUCGAAAAACUAACAUUACAUCUAAAUAAGAGGAAUGUCUUCCUCUUAUUU
rnacentral:lncRNA from 1 species